rnacentral:misc_RNA from 1 species
GGAGUCGUCGGAGUUUAGGAAUUUUGAGGUGAUUCGUUGUGUAAAAGCGAAGAGAAGAUGAAUAGAGUGAACGGAGAGCAGAGAGGAGUUGAUAGCACUUUGGAGACGAUAAACGCUGCUGCUACUGCAAUCGCUUCAGUUGAAAAUCGUGUUCCUCAAGCCUCGAUUCAGAAACGAAGAUGGGGAAGCUGCUGGAGCAUGUACUGGUGUUUUGGCUCUCAGAAACAGACGAAACGAAUUGGACAUGCAGUUUUUAUUCCAGAAACAACAGCCUCUGCUGCAGAUAGACCUUCUUCUAAUACUUCAAGUCAAGCUCCUUCUAUAGUGCUUCCCUUCAUAGCACCCCCCUCAUCUCCUGCAUCUUUCUUGCCAUCAGAACCUCCUUCAGCAACCCAUUCACCAGUUGGCUCAAAAUGCCUUUCUAUGUCUACAUAUUCUCCCAGUGGACCUGCCUCAAUUUUUGCUAUUGGGCCCUACGCUCAUGAAACUCAACUGGU